rnacentral:lncRNA from 1 species
CAGAUUUUGGAGUACUGCAAAAUGACUUUCCAAAUUGAUGAACCAUGGACUCCAAGCUGGAUAGACACAGAAAUGAAAAGAAGGGACUAAUAGGGAAUAAGACGUGUGAUCCAUGGCCCGAUGGCCCUGAUGGACGUGAAGAUCCACUGUUGUGGGAGGAGUGGAACACUAACACUGAAUGAUGGAGGCUGUGGUCAGAAACAGCUGAAUAUAACUGGCCAGUGCAGAAGAGCCUAUGAAGGUGGAAAAUGGAGGAAGGAGGACCCCAUGCUGGAGAAGUGAUGGAGAUUUGAAGCCUUGGAAGAUGGCGGCAAGGGAGAUGCCAGAGAUGAGACAAUGUUAAACAUCUGUAAUCUAACAGUCUUCUAUGGGAGUUUAUUACAUUUCCAUAUCCUAUGUUCACUUCUAGUGAAAAAUAAAAAUAAAAUCUUAAGCCCCCCACAGCUGACUAAAUGGAUCCCAUUGUGAAAGGA